GUAAGAGUAGUAGACCUGUGCGGUUCAAAAUUCAGCAAUGCAUCACUAGAUGACAUCACUUCCUUCAUCGCCUGCAUUUAAUUCAUAGUGGAAUCAGUCAGCAGAGAGAGACGACAUGAUUAAUGCUCCCUAUCUCUGUGUUUCUUUCUUUGUCUUGUGUCUUGCAGUGACCAUUCUUGGUAAAAGUGUUGUCCAGACUCCUCCUGAUCUCCUGAAGAAAGAAGAUGAAUUUGCAGAGAUUGAAUGUUCACACAAAGUACAAGGCUAUAAUGUCAUACAGUGGUACAAACAAAGCCAGAGCAUCAUGGAUCUUCAGCUCAUGGGAUACCUUUAUAUUGGUGAUGAGAACAAAGAGACUGCGUUUGAAAACAAGAUCAAACUGAAAGGAGAUGGAAGAAAUAAUGGCACUCUGACUAUCAAGAACCUCAUGCUGAAUGACAGUGCAGUGUAUUUCUGUGCAGCAUAUUACACAGUGUUCAGAAUCACAUCUGUCUAAUACAAAAACCUCCUCCCCUGUUACAAGAUUAUCAGUGGCUGCAAAUUCAUUCCCAGUCUGCACCUGGACUAGUGGUUCAGUGGUUAUAAUUAACACUAGCAGCUUAGCAGUACACAAAGAAGGGAAUUUAAAAGUUUAUGAUUUUGAAUACUUGUUUUUAAUCAUUAAUAACUCUAAAUGGU